rnacentral:rRNA from 1 species
AAUGGAGGCAACUCUGACGCAGCAACGCCGCGUGGGUGAAGAAGGCUUUCGGGUUGUAAAGCCCUGUCAGGUGGGAAGAAACCUCUUUGAGUGAAUAGCUCAGGGAACUGACGGUACCACCAAAGGAAGCACCGGCUAACUCCGUGCCAGCAGCCGCGGUAAGACGGAGGGUGCAAGCGUUGUUCGGAAUCACUGGGCGUAAAGCGCGUGUAGGCGGUUCGAUUAGUCGAGUGUGAAAGCCCGAGGCUCAACCUCGGAAGCGCACUCGAAACUGUCGGGCUUGAGUACGGGAGAGGGAAGUGGAAUUCCUGGUGUAGAGGUGAAAUUCGUAGAUAUCAGUAGGAACACCGGUGGCGAAGGCGGCUUCCUGGACCGAUACUGACGCUGAGACGCGAAAGCGUGGGGAGCAAA